AGAGUUUGAUCCUGGCUCAGAACGAACGCUGGCGGCGUGCUUAACACAUGCAAGUCGAGUGCGCGCCUGUAGCAAUACAGGUGGCGCACGGCGCACGGGUGCGUAACACGUGGGUAAUCUGCCCUCUGAUGGGGAAUAACUCGCCGAAAGGCGAGCUAAUUCCGCAUAAUAUUCCGAGAACCUUGGUUUUUGGACUGAAAGGCGUAAGUCGUCGGAGGAGGAGCCCGCGCACGAUUAGCUAGUUGGUAGGGUAAUGGCCUACCAAGGCUUUGAUCGUUAGCUGGUCUGAGAGGAUGGCCAGCCACACUGGAACUGAGACACGGUCCAGACUCCUACGGGAGGCAGCAGUGGGGAAUCUUGCACAAUGGGCGAAAGCCUGAUGCAGCGACGCCGCGUGGGGGAUGAAGCAUUUCGGUGUGUAAACCCCUUUCGAUCCGGACGAAUGCCUCGCAAGAGGAUUGACGGUACGGAAUAUAAGAAGCCCCGGCUAACUACGUGCCAGCAGCCGCGGUA
rnacentral:rRNA from 1 species